rnacentral:rRNA from 1 species
AUUGAACGCUGGCGGCAUGCUUUACACAUGCAAGUCGAACGGUAACAGGCCUUCGGGUGCUGACGAGUGGCGAACGGGUGAGUAAUGCAUCGGAACGUGCCCAGAGGUGGGGGAUAACGCAGCGAAAGCUGUGCUAAUACCGCAUGUGAUCUGAGUAUGAAAGCGGGGGACCAAGCAGCAAUGUUUGGCCUCGCGCCUCUGGAGCGGCCGAUGUCAGAUUAGGUAGUUGGUGGGGUAAAGGCCUACCAAGCCGACGAUCUGUAGCUGGUCUGAGAGGACGACCAGCCACACUGGGACUGAGACACGGCCCAGACUCCUACGGGAGGCAGCAGUGGGGAAUUUUGGACAAUGGGCGCAAGCCUGAUCCAGCAAUGCCGCGUGAGGGAAGAAGGCCUUCGGGUUGUAAACCGCUUUUGUACGGAACGAAAAGGCUCUGGCUAAUACCUGGGGCUGAUGACGGUACCGUAAGAAUAAGCACCGGCUAACUACGUG